GGCAUGGAAUCCUGUGGCAUCUACGAGACCACCUUCAACUCCAUCAUGAGUGAUGUGGAUAUCCGCAAAGACCUG
ensembl:miRNA Gm26217 predicted gene, 26217